rnacentral:rRNA from 1 species
UUGAGGCUGUCAGAGGUGUCUGGAACUCUAGGUGGAGCGGUGAAAUGCGUAGAUAUCUAGAGGAACGCCAGAGGCGAAAGCGAGACACUGGGACAAGUCUGACGCUGAGGCGCGAAAGCGUGGGGAGCAAACAGGAUUAGAUAGCCUGGUAGUCCACGCCGUAAACGAUGCACACUAGAUCUAGGGGCUCUGACGGCUUCUGGGUCGAAGGGAAACCGAUAAGUGUGCCGCCUGGGGACUACGUCCGCAAGGCUAAAACUCAAAGGAAUUGACGGGGGCUCACACAAGCGGUGGAGCAUGUGGCUUAAUUCGAAGCGACGCGAAGAACCUUACCCAGGUUUGACAUGCUUGGAUGCUACCCUUGGAUAACUUGGGAUGCUGCCCUUCGGGGUGAAACUUGCACAGGUGUUGCAUGGCUGUCGUCAGCUCGUGCUGUGAAGUGUCGGGUUAAGUCCCUUAACGAGCGAAACCCCUAUCGCUAGUUGCCAGCGAGUCAUGUCGGGGACUCUAGCGAGACUGCCGGCGUUAAGCCGGAGGAAGGUGGGGACGACGUCAAGUCAUCAUGGCCUUUAUGCCUGGGGAUGCACACGUGCUACAAUGGCGGAUACAGAGCGACGCGAGACCGCGAGGUGGAGCAAAUCGCAAAAAGUCCGCCCCAGUUCGGAUUGGAGUCUGUAAUUCGACUCCAUGAAGUUGGAAUCGCUAGUAAUCGCG